AGCAGCCGCGGUAAUUCCAGCUCCAAUAGCGUAUAUUAAAGUUGUUGCAGUUAAAAAGCUCGUAGUUGAAUUUCGGGAUCAAUUAAUUGGUCGUGCCUCUGGUACGUACUGAUUUUAUUGGUUUCUCCCUUCUGACGAACCAUGAUGUCAUUAAUUUGGUGUCGUGAAGAAUCAGGACUGUUACUUUGAAAAAUUAGAGUGUUUAAAGCAAGCUAACGCUUGAAUACAUUAGCAUGGAAUAAUGAAAUAGGACGUUUGAUCCUAUUUUGUUGGUUUCUAGGAUCGACGUAAUGAUUAAUAGGGAUAGUUGGGGCAUUAGUAUUCAAUUGUCAGAGGUGAAAAUUCUUGGAUUUAUUGAAGACUAACUACUGCGAAAAGCAUUUGCCAAGGAUGUUUUCAUUAAUCAAGAACGAAAGUUAGGGGAUCGAAGACGAUCAGAUACCGUCGUAGUCUUAACCAUAAACUAUGACCGACUAGGGAUCGGAUGAUGUUAAUUUUUAAUGUACUCAUUCGGCGCCUU
rnacentral:rRNA from 1 species